rnacentral:tRNA from 1 species
GCUGCCGUGGUCGAAUACAUCAGGCAUCCGACUUCUAAGCGGAACGAUGCAGGUGGAAAUCCUGCCGGCAGCGCCA